UACGAAGGGUGCAAACGUUGCUCGGAAUUAUUGGGCGUAAAGCGCACGUAGGCGGCCUUGCAAGUCCCAUGUGAAAGCCCACGGCUUAACCGUGGAAGUGCAUGGGAAACUGCAGAGCUUGAGUACUUAAGAGGAUCGCGGAAUUCCCGGUGUAGAGGUGAAAUUCGUAGAUAUCGGGAGGAACACCAGUGGCGAAGGCGGCGACCUGGGCUGAUACUGACGCUGAGGUGCGAAAGCGUGGGGAGCAAACAGG
rnacentral:rRNA from 1 species